rnacentral:rRNA from 1 species
AACGAACGCUGGCGGCAGGCUUAACACAUGCAAGUCGAACGCCCCGCAAGGGGAGUGGCAGACGGGUGAGUAACGCGUGGGAAUCUACCCAUCCCUACGGAACAACUCCGGGAAACUGGAGCUAAUACCGUAUACGCCCUACGGGGGAAAGAUUUAUCGGGGAUGGAUGAGCCCGCGUUGGAUUAGCUAGUUGGUGGGGUAAAGGCCUACCAAGGCGACGAUCCAUAGCUGGUCAGAGAGGAUGAUCAGCCACAUUGGGACUGAGACACGGCCCAAACGCCUACGGGAGGCAGCAGUGGGGAAUAUUGGACAAUGGGCGCAAGCCUGGUCCAGCCAUGCCGCGUGAGUGAUGAAGGUCUUAGGAUUGUAAAGCUCUUUCACCGAUGAAGAUAAUGACGGUAGUCGGAGAAGAAGCCCCGGCUAACUUCAUGCCAGCCGCCGCGGUAA